GAUGAACGCUAGCUACAGGCUUAACACAUGCAAGUCGAGGGGAAACGACAUCGAAAGCUUGCUUUUGAUGGGCGUCGACCGGCGCACGGGUGAGUAACGCGUAUCCAACCUGCCCACCACUUGGGGAUAACCUUGCGAAAGUAAGACUAAUACCCAAUGACGUCUCUAGAAGACAUCUGAAAGAGAUUAAAGAUUUAUCGGUGAUGGAUGGGGAUGCGUCUGAUUAGCUUGUUGGCGGGGUAACGGCCCACCAAAGCUACGAUCAGUAGGGGUUCUGAGAGGAAGGUCCCCCACAUUGGGACUGAGACACGGUCCAAACUCCUACGGGAGGCAGCAGUGAGGAAUAUUGGUCAAUGGACGAGAGUCUGAACCAGCCAAGUAGCGUGCAGGAUGACGGCCCUAUGGGUUGUAAACUGCUUUUAUAAGGGAAUAAAGUGAGCCUCGUGAGGCUUUUUGCAUGUACCUUAUGAAUAAGGACCGGCUAAUUCCGUGCCAGCAGCCGCUGUAA
rnacentral:rRNA from 1 species